UCGGUGCCAAAGCGCGUUUAUUGGUACAAUCUGUCAGCGUCAGGCCGGCUUCCUUGCGUUGCCGGUUCGCUGUUCAGUGGUUGAAACGGAGUAACUAUGCUGAUCGCACGGUCCUAGUACCGGCGACGAAUCUUUGAAAUGACUUGCUCAUCAACUGUCGAUGGUAGGUUACGUGCCUACCAUGGUGACAACGGUUAACGGAGAAUCAGGGUUCGAUUCCGGAGAAGGAGCCUGAGAGACGGCUACUACAUCCAAGGAAGGCAGCAGGCGCGCAAAUUACCCACUCCCAGAACGGGGAGGUAGUGACGAUAAAUAACGGAACGUAUCUCGAUGAGACGCGUUACCGGAACGAUUGAGCCUUAUAACAGCUCGACUAAAGCUAUUGGAGGGCAAGUCUGGUGCCAGCAGCCGCGGUAAUUCCAGCUCCAAUAGCGUAUAUUAAAGCUGCUGCGGUUGAACCGCUCGUAGUUGGAUUGCGAUUUUCGGCCACGGUCCUCUAAGUCAAGAGGAUUGGCUCUGCCGCCGUUGGUCAUGAUCGGUAUUGUCAUGCUUGUCCUUGAUGCUCUUUGCUGAGUGUCAUGGGUGACAUGGACGUUUACUUUGAGAAAAUAAGAGCGCUCAAAGCAGGCUGCUCAUAGCUUGAAUGGGAAUUUCAUGGG
rnacentral:rRNA from 1 species